AUAGGUAUGAUGAAAUUUGGUAGACAUGUUAGGUUUAGAUUCUAAUAACAUUUAAUAAGUUAUGAGGGUUCGAAUCCCUCUACCUAUA
rnacentral:tRNA from 1 species